GAUGAACGCUAGCGGCAGGCCUAAUACAUGCAAGUCGAGGGGCAGCAGGAAUAGCAAUAUUCGCUGGCGACCGGCGCACGGGUGCGUAACACGUAUACAAUCUGCCUUCAACAGGGGGAUAGCCCGGAGAAAUCCGGAUUAAUACCCCAUAACAGUGAUCUUGGCAUCAAGGACACUUAAAAGCUCCGGCGGUUAAAGAUGAGUAUGCGUCUGAUUAGCUAGUUGGUGAGGUAACGGCCCACCAAGGCGACGAUCAGUAGGGGAACUGAGAGGAGUAACCCCCCAAUGGAUACUGGGACAGGGAUCCGACUCAUACGAGAGGCAGCAGUAAGGAAUAUUGAACGAUGCCCGCAAGGGUGAUCCGACCAUGCCGCGUGCAGGAAGACCGCCCUAUGGGUUGUAAACUGCUUUUACACCGGAGAAAACCCCACUACGUGUAGUGGGCUGAUAGUAUGGUGAGAAUAAGCAUCGGCUAACUUCGUGCCAGCCGCCGCGGUAA
rnacentral:rRNA from 1 species